GCCGACAUAGCUCAGUUGGUAGAGCAGCGGUAUCGUAAACCGCAGGUCGUCGGUUCAAGUCCGACUGUCGGCUCCA
rnacentral:tRNA from 1 species